CGUGUAGGCGGGAAUGCAAGCUGGAGGUGAAAGCCCCGGGCUCAACUCGGGAAUUGCUUCCAGAACUGCAUUUCUAGAGAGAGUCAGAGGCAGGUGGAAUUCCUGGUGUAGAGGUGAAAUUCGUAGAGAUCAGGAGGAACACCGGCGGCGAAGGCGGCCUGCUGGGGCUCUUCUGACGCUGAGGCGCGAAAGCGUGGGAGCAAACA
rnacentral:rRNA from 1 species